rnacentral:tRNA from 1 species
GGGCCCGUGGUGUAGCCUGGUUUAACACGUCAGAUUGUCGAUCUGAAGAUCGCGAGUUCAAAUCUCGUCGGGCCCGCCA